CCUACGGGAGGCAGCAGUAAGGAAUAUUGGUCAAUGGACGGAAGUCUGAACCAGCCAUGCCGCGUGCAGGAUGACGGCCCUCUGGGUUGUAAACUGCUUUUAUAGGGGACGAAAAAAGGGGAUUCUUCCUCACUUGACGGUACCCUAGGAAUAAGCACCGGCUAACUCCGUGCCAGCAGCCGCGGUAAUACGGAGGGUGCAAGCGUUAUCCGGAUUUACUGGGUUUAAAGGGUGCGUAGGUGGGUCGGUAAGUCAGCGGUGAAAUCUUCGAGCUUAACUCGGAAACUGCCAUUGAUACUAUCGAUCUUGAAUCGUCUAGAGGUAAGCGGAAUAUGUCAUGUAGCGGUGAAAUGCUUAGAUAUGACAUAGAACACCAAUUGCGAAGGCAGCUUACUAUGGAUGUAUUGACACUGAGGCACGAAAGCGUGGGGAUCAAACAGGAUUAGAUACCCUGGUAGUCCACGCCCUAAACGAUGGAUACUCGACAUUUGAGAUAUACUUUAAAGUGUCUGAGCGAAAGCAUUAAGUAUCCACCUGGGAAGUACGAUCGCAGAUUGAAACUCAAAUGAAUUGACGGCUGAGAGNGCGAGACGACGACGAGGGAGGAGG
rnacentral:rRNA from 1 species